rfam:Neurospora crassa OR74A linkage group IV, whole genome shotgun sequence.
GGGCGUGUGGCUCAGUUGGUAGAGCGUUCGCUUAGCAUACUUCUUACCUAGGUGUAUGCGAAAGGUCCUGGGUUCGAUUCCCAGCUCGUCCA